UUGGGAUGUGUUUAGUGACAGAUGUUUUCGAUCUUGAGAGGUUUUUACCGCAUGUGACUGUUUUUAUGCAUCCUCUUAUCAUUCCAACUAUUUCUUUAUCAAUUUCAGCCACCUCAUGAGGUAAGAAGGUGAGUGGCGGACCCUGCAAAUGGGGUCACCAAGCAUGUCGGUGAAGAGAGAAAGUUGGUUACUAGGUCCAACUUCACAUGUCCUUUCAACUGCUUCUACUCUUUCUUUGUCUUUAUUAACUUCGAAUUCUCGAACAAUCACACUAACGGAUACAUCAACUCUCAUAAUUGCAAGUAUAUAUGAUUCUAUAGAAGAAAAAAGAAUGGGAGAAUAAUGGUGUAUGUUUGUGGAGAAUGUAAUAUGAAGUUAUAUAUAUAGAUGGAAGGUGUUGCUAUUAUGUAGUUGUAACUUGUAUGAGUGAAGAAAUAGUAAUAUUGAAGAUGAUUGUGCAGUGUGCUAUAAGCAAUGCUACGAAGAAAUCGGAAUAGGUAGGAGACAGAAAUGAGGGGUCAAGUAUCAUACGCGACGAUUAGUUUGCUUGCACCAAUUUGGAAUAUCAUCAGAUAUCUAAUCUAGAAUAUAUAAAUAAGAGAGAAUAGGAAGAGAAGACGAUGGGGAGAGAGAGACAAGGAGAAAAUGAUAGAUGGAUGGUGCCUCAAAUGGAACAAUCAUUGUGAUACGAGUUGGAGAUAUCUGCAAAUAUUUUGACUCUCAAAUCAAUAAUAGAGCAAAUAGUAAAAGACUUUUAGGAUUGAAAUUGUGUAUCUUAUGACGAUAACGAUGAAGUCUUUUAUAGAUGUGGGUGUUGAGCCUUA
rnacentral:lncRNA from 1 species